UAGGGAAUCUUCGGCAAUGGGGGCAACCCUGACCGAGCAACGCCGCGUGAGUGAAGAAGGUUUUCGGAUCGUAAAGCUCUGUUGUAAGUCAAGAACGGGUGUGAGAGUGGAAAGUUCACACUGUGACGGUAGCUUACCAGAAAGGGACGGCUAACUACGUGCCAGCAGCCGCGGUAAUACGUAGGUCCCGAGCGUUGUCCGGAUUUAUUGGGCGUAAAGCGAGCGCAGGCGGUUUGAUAAGUCUGAAGUUAAAGGCUGUGGCUCAACCAUAGUUCGCUUUGGAAACUGUCAAACUUGAGUGCAGAAGGGGAGAGUGGAAUUCCAUGUGUAGCGGUGAAAUGCGUAGAUAUAUGGAGGAACACCGGUGGCGAAAGCGGCUCUCUGGUCUGUAACUGACGCUGAGGCUCGAAAGCGUGGGGAGCGAACAGGAUUAGAUACCCUGGUAGUCCACGCCGUAAACGAUGAGUGCUAGGUGUUGGAUCCUUUCCGGGAUUCAGUGCCGCAGCUAACGCAUUAAGCACUCCGCCUGG
rnacentral:rRNA from 1 species